rnacentral:siRNA from 1 species
AUCGGCCAUAACAUUGACAUGAGU